rnacentral:lncRNA from 1 species
AUGUUUAGUCUUCAACAAGAAACAUGUGUCUACACGAAAUGCCAAGCUCUAAAUCGUCAUGAACUUGUAGAUACAAUAUUCAAAAAACAACAAUAUUAAAGUCUAAAUAAUAUAAAUAUUCAUUAUUCACACAUAUUCUAGAUUUUCUAAAUCGUUUGAGACACGUAUGCAACGCCCAUGUAUUUUCCGUUCACAUAAUGUUUUGACGGUUUUCCUUUUUUAUUUAUAACGUCCUACAAACAUUGCUCAGACUAGACAGCAUGAAAGACUAAUUUUAAAACACUUUUAUAAGUCAGCGUAUAGGUUUAUUCCUUGAAUGCCAACAUCCUUUGAUCUACCGACAAUUUACCUAUAAAUAAUGUUGGCUUUCGAGGAAUAGGUGCAAAAAGUUAUCACAACACGA